rnacentral:rRNA from 1 species
UACAGAGGGUGCGAGCGUUGUUCGGAAUUAUUGGGCGUAAAGGGCGCGUAGGCGGGCACGCAAGUCAGGGGUGAAAUCCUCCGGCUCAACCGGAGAACAGCUUUUGAUACUGCGUGCCUCGAGGGGGGUAGGGGCAUGUGGAACUUCCGGUGGAGCGGUGAAAUGCGUAGAUAUCGGAAGGAACGCCGGUGGCGAAAGCGACGUGCUGGACCCCUUCUGACGCUGAGGCGCGAAAGCGUGGGGAGCGAACAGG